CUGAUGUGGGCGUUGGAUACUUGAAGGGAGCUGUCCCUAGUACGAGAGGACCGGGAUGGACGCACCGCUAGUGUACCAGUUGUCCUGCCAAGGGCACCGCUGGGUAGCUAUGUGCGGAAGGGAUAACCGCUGAAAGCAUCUAAGUGGGAAACCCGCCCUGAGAUGAGGUAUCCCGGGGAUUCAAUCCCCCUAAAGGGCCCUCGUAGACUACGAGGUUGAUAGGCCGGAUGUGUAAGCGCAGCGAUGCGUUUAGCUGACCGGUACUAAUUGCCCGUGAGGCUUGACCAC
rnacentral:ncRNA from 1 species